rnacentral:misc_RNA from 1 species
GAUGAAGAACGUAGCGAAAUGCGAUAAGUAAUGUGAAUUGCAGAAUUCAGUGAAUCAUCGAAUCUUUGAACGCUCAUUGCGCCCAUUAGUAUUCUAGUGGGCAUGCCUGUUCGAGCGUCAUUAAGUCCACUUAAGCCCUGCUUAGUGUUGGGAGACUGCUCCAGCGGUGCUACCCUGUAGCUACCCUGCAGCUCCUCAAAGACAGCGGCGGAGUUGUGGUAUCCUCUGAGCUUAGUAACUUGUUCUAGCUUUCGAGUACACCACUUCCCCUGCCGUAAAACCCUUAAUUUUUAAUGGUUGACCUCGGAUCAGGUAGGAAUACCCGCUGAACUUAAGCAUAUCAAUAAGCGGAGGA